rnacentral:lncRNA from 1 species
AUUUGCCCAGCCCAAAAACCCAAACCCUCUACCCAUUUACAACAACAGCCUAAAACCAAUACAAACCCAAUAACUAGCCCAACUACCCUAAACCCUAACAUUUUCAGAAGCCAAAAGCAGUAAGCCUAACCCUAGGUGCGCCGCACCUAGGGUCGGCCACUUGACCUGCCUCCACCGCCCUUGUCACCUCAGCCUCCUGCCGCACCUGCUCCACCUGCAAGGAGAAGAAUACACACAAAGAAAAAGAAAAAAAACAACAGAGAAUAGAAAAAGGGGGAUUUCGGCUUUAUAAGCCCAGAGAAAAACGAUGUAAAGGGGGGGAUUUUCAGUUCUUCUUUUUUCUUUCUUUACCUUCGGCAAAAGCCGAAUUUACUGUAAAAAGGGGGUUCCCUUUUUGAAUCUGGAGUAAUAAAAAGAAAAUAUAGUUUCAAAGAGAUUUUUUUCUUGAUUUCGAUCUUCUUUUUUAUUAUCUCUUUUAUUUUUUAUUUUAUUUUUUGAUAAACGAAAAU